rnacentral:tRNA from 1 species
GGGGUUGUGGCUCAGAGGGAGAGCGCUCACCUACUACCGUGUGUGAGGCACUGGGUUCAAUCCUCAGCACCACA